rnacentral:rRNA from 1 species
GUACACAAAAAUGCACAUAUUGUGAGCUCGAUGAGUAGGGCGGGACACGUGGUAUCCUGUCUGAAUAUGGGGGGACCAUCCUCCAAGGCUAAAUACUCCUGACUGACCGAUAGUGAACCAGUACCGUGAGGGAAAGGCGAAAAGAACCCCGGCGAGGGGAGUGAAAAAGAACCUGAAACCGUGUACGUACAAGCAGUGGGAGCCUCUUAAUGGGGUGACUGCGUACCUUUUGUAUAAUGGGUCAGCGACUUAUAUUCUGUAGCAAGGUUAACCGAAUAGGGGAGCCGAAGGGAAACCGAGUCUUAACUGGGCGUUAAGUUGCAGGGUAUAGACCCGAAACCCGGUGAUCUAGCCAUGGGCAGGUUGAAGGUUGGGUAACACUAACUGGAGGACCGAACCGACUAAUGUUGAAAAAUUAGCGGAUGACUUGUGGCUGGGGGUGAAAGGCCAAUCAAACCGGGAGAUAGCUGGUUCUCCCCGAAAGCUAUUUAGGUAGCGCCUCGUGAAUUCAUCUCCGGGGGUAGAGCACUGUUUCGGCAAGGGGGUCAUCCCGACUUACCAACCCGAUGCAAACUGCGAAUACCGGAGAAUGUUAUCACGGGAGACACACGGCGGGUGCUAACGUCCGUCGUGAAGAGGGAAACAACCCAGACCGCCAGCUAAGGUCCCAAAGUCAUGGUUAAGUGGGAAACGAUGUGGGAAGGCCCAGACAGCCAGGAUGUUGGCUUAGAAGCAGCCAUCAUUUAAAGAAAGCGUAAUAGCUCACUGGUCGAGUCGGCCUGCGCGGAAGAUGUAACGGGGCUAAACCAUGCACCGAAGCUGCGGCAGCGACACUAUGUGUUGUUGGGUAGGGGAGCGUUCUGUAAGCCUGUGAAGGUGGCCUGUGAGGGUUGCUGGAGGUAUCAGAAGUGCGAAUGCUGACAUAAGUAACGAUAAAGCGGGUGAAAAGCCCGCUCGCCGGAAGACCAAGGGUUCCUGUCCAACGUUAAUCGGGGCAGGGUGAGUCGACCCCUAAGGCGAGGCCGAAAGGCGUAGUCGAUGGGAAACAGGUUAAUAUUCCUGUACUUGGUGUUACUGCGAAGGGGGGACGGAGAAGGCUAUGUUGGCCGGGCGACGGUUGUCCCGGUUUAAGCGUGUAGGCUGGUUUUCCAGGCAAAUCCGGAAAAUCAAGGCUGAGGCGUGAUGACGAUGCACUACGGUGCUGAAGUAACAAAUGCCCUGCUUCCAGGAAAAGCCUCUAAGCAUCAGGUAACAUCAAAUCGUACCCCAAACCGACACAGGUGGUCAGGUAGAGAAUACCAAGGCGCUUGAGAGAACUCGGGUGAAGGAACUAGGCAAAAUGGUGCCGUAACUUCGGGAGAAGGCACGCUGAUAUGUAGGUGAAGCGACUUGCUCGUGGAGCUGAAAUCAGUCGAAGAUACCAGCUGGCUGCAACUGUUUAUUAAAAACACAGCACUGUGCAAACACGAAAGUGGACGUAUACGGUGUGACGCCUGCCCGGUGCCGGAAGGUUAAUUGAUGGGGUUAGCGGUAACGCGAAGCUCUUGAUCGAAGCCCCGGUAAACGGCGGCCGUAACUAUAACGGUCCUAAGGUAGCGAAAUUCCUUGUCGGGUAAGUUCCGACCUGCACGAAUGGCGUAAUGAUGGCCAGGCUGUCUCCACCCGAGACUCAGUGAAAUUGAACUCGCUGUGAAGAUGCAGUGUACCCGCGGCAAGACGGAAAGACCCCGUGAACCUUUACUAUAGCUUGACACUGAACAUUGAGCCUUGAUGUGUAGGAUAGGUGGGAGGCUUUGAAGUGUGGACGCCAGUCUGCAUGGAGCCGACCUUGAAAUACCACCCUUUAAUGUUUGAUGUUCUAACGUUGGCCCCUAAUCGGGGUUGCGGACAGUGUCUGGUGGGUAGUUUGACUGGGGCGGUCUCCUCCUAAAGAGUAACGGAGGAGCACGAAGGUUGGCUAAUCCUGGUCGGACAUCAGGAGGUUAGUGCAAUGGCAUAAGCCAGCUUGACUGCGAGCGUGACGGCGCGAGCAGGUGCGAAAGCAGGUCAUAGUGAUCCGGUGGUUCUGAAUGGAAGGGCCAUCGCUCAACGGAUAAAAGGUACUCCGGGGAUAACAGGCUGAUACCGCCCAAGAGUUCAUAUCGACGGCGGUGUUUGGCACCUCGAUGUCGGCUCAUCACAUCCUGGGGCUGAAGUAGGUCCCAAGGGUAUGGCUGUUCGCCAUUUAAAGUGGUACGCGAGCUGGGUUUAGAACGUCGUGAGACAGUUCGGUCCCUAUCUGCCGUGGGCGCUGGAGAACUGAGGGGGGCUGCUCCUAGUACGAGAGGACCGGAGUGGACGCAUCACUGGUGUUCGGGUUGUCAUGCCAAUGGCACUGCCCGGUAGCUAAAUGCGGAAGAGAUAAGUGCUGAAAGCAUCUAAGCACGAAACUUGCCCCGAGAUGAGUUCUCCCUGACUCCUUGAGGGUCCUGAAGGAACGUUGAAGACGACGACGUUGAUAGGCCGGGUGUGUAAG